AUUGAACGCUGGCGGAAUGCUUUACACAUGCAAGUCGAACGGCAGCACGGACUUCGGUCUGGUGGCGAGUGGCGAACGGGUGAGUAAUGUAUCGGAACGUGCCCAGUCGUGGGGGAUAACGUAGUGAAAAUUACGCUAAUACCGCAUACGAUCUAUGGAUGAAAGCGGGGGAUCGCAAGACCUCGCGCGAUUGGAGCGGCCGAUAUCAGAUUAGGUAGUUGGGGGGGUAAAGGCCCACCAAGCCAACGAUCUGUAGCUGGUCUGGGAGGACGGCCAGCCACACUGGAACUGAGACACGGUCCAGACUCCUACGGGAGGCAGCAGUGGGGAAUUUUGGACAAUGGGCGAAAGCCUGAUCCAGCCAUUCCGCGUGCAGGAUGAAGGCCCUCGGGUUGUAAACUGCUUUUGUACAGAACGAAAAGGUUUCUACUAAUACUAGGAGCUCAUGACGGUACUGUAAGAAUAAGCACCGGCUAACUACGUGCCAGCAGCCGCCGUAA
rnacentral:rRNA from 1 species